rnacentral:siRNA from 1 species
UGGCGAGGUAGUUUCCCGAUGACU